rnacentral:rRNA from 1 species
UGGGGAAUAUUGCACAAUGGGGGAAACCCUGAUGCAGCAACGCCGCGUGAAGGAAGAAGUAGUUCGCUAUGUAAACUUCUAUCAACAGGGAAGAAGUCAAUGACGGUACCUGAAUAAGAAGCACCGGCUAAAUACGUGCCAGCAGCCGCGGUAAUACGUAUGGUGCAAGCGUUAUCCGGAUUUACUGGGUGUAAAGGGUGAGUAGGCGGUUACUUAAGUCAUAUGUGAAAUUCUGGGGCUCAACCCCAGAGCUGCAUAAGAAACUGAGUAACUAGAGUGCAGGAGAGGUAAGCGGAAUUCCUAGUGUAGCGGUGAAAUGCGUAGAUAUUAGGAAGAACACC